rnacentral:rRNA from 1 species
AGUGAACGCUGGCGGUAGGCCUAACACAUGCAAGUCGAACGGCAGCACAGUAAGAGCUUGCUCUUACGGGUGGCGAGUGGCGGACGGGUGAGGUAUACAUCGGAAUCUACUUUUUCGUGGGGGAUAACGUAGGGAAACUUACGCUAAUACCGCAUACGACCUACGGGUGAAAGCAGGGGAUCUUCGGACCUUGCGCGAUUGAAUGAGCCGAUGUCGGAUUAGCUAGUUGGCGGGGUAAAGGCCCACCAAGGCGACGAUCCGUAGCUGGUCUGAGAGGAUGAUCAGCCACACUGGAACUGAGACACGGUCCAGACUCCGACGGGAGGCAGCAGUGGGGAAUAUUGGACAAUGGGGGCAAGCCUGAUCCAGCCAUACCGCGUGGGUGAAGAAGGCCUUCGGGUUGUAAAGCCCUUUUGUUGGGAAAGAAAAGCAGCAGGUUAAUACCCCGCUGUUCUGACGGUACCCAAAGAAUAAGCACCGGCUAACUUCGUG